rnacentral:rRNA from 1 species
AACGAACGCUGGCGGCAGGCUUAACACAUGCAAGUCGAGCGCAUCCUUCGGGGUGAGCGGCAGACGGGUGAGUAACGCGUGGGAAUCUACCUUUUGCUACGGAAUAGCGCCGGGAAACUGGAAUUAAUACCGUAUGUGCCCUUAGGGGGAAAGAUUUAUCGGCAAGAGAUGAGCCCGCGUUGGAUUAGCUAGUUGGUGGGGUAAAGGCCUACCAAGGCGACGAUCCAUAGCUGGUCUGAGAGGAUGAUCAGCCACAUUGGGACUGAGACACGGCCCAAACUCCUACGGGAGGCAGCAGUGGGGAAUAUUGGACAAUGGGCGCAAGCCUGAUCCAGCCAUGCCGCGUGAGUGAUGAAGGCCUUAGGGUUGUAAAGCUCUUUCACCGGAGAAGAUAAUGACGGUAUCCGGAGAAGAAGCCCCGGCUAACUUCGUG